GGUUGAUGGUACUGGAGAAGGACUG
rnacentral:piRNA from 1 species